CUAGCUUGUGUCACAUUGACAAAAUAACUAACCAGGGCACAGGAUGACACCAUGUAUCCCUGGCUGGUCUGGAACUCUCGAUGUAGAAUAGGGUGGCCUAUAGCUCACAGAGAUCCUCCUGCCUCUGCCCACUGAGAGCUGUCACAACACUGGCUUAGAGGUCUAUCUAUUUUGAAAAAGAGCAUUUCUGAACAAAGAUUCUUUCCUGGACAGUGUUUCCAAACUACAGUUAGCUGUGGUGAGCUGGGAAAUGUGUCUCCACCCUUGCAGUCUGGCUCCAAACCCUCCAGGAAGGAGGAUCUGUAUGAAUUCCUCUGAGAGUCAAGAUACUUAAAAAAUCGCAAAGUACUUACAUGUUCAUUUGAAACAACCAUCACACAACCUUUAAAACAGAUCUUAUUUAUGCAUAUAUGUGCCUAUGUGUGCAGGUCACUUUGGAGGCCAAAAGGUGACAAAUCCCCUACAACGGAAGCUACAUGUUCCUGGAGCCCUGAGGCAAGGGAUUUGAUGGAGAAAUCUGUCUUACAGCCGAGUGUUCCAAGAUCUCUUACCCUCUCUGCGUUAUGUCUGACCAUGGAUCUCUGUAUUUGUUCCCAUCUGCUGCGGGAGGAAGCUUCUCUGAUGAUGAAGUAAGGCACUGAUCUCUGAGUAAAGCAGAAUGUCAUUGGGAGUCAUUUUAUUGCUGUGUUCCUUUAGCAGUACUUGGUUUUCCCCUAGGUUCUUGGCCUAUC
rnacentral:lncRNA from 1 species